rnacentral:rRNA from 1 species
GAAACGACUGCUAAGACUGGAUAGGAAGAAAUAAGGCAUCUUAUUUCUUUUAAAAGACCUAGUAAUAGGUAUACUUUAGGAGGGGCUUGCGCCAUAUUAGUUAGUUGGUAGGGCAAUGGCCUACCAAGACGAUGAUGUGUAGCUGGACUGAGAGGUUGAACAGCCACAUUGGGACUGAGACACGGCCCAAACUCCUACGGGAGGCAGCAGUAAGGAAUUUUCGGCAAUGGAGGAAACUCUGACCGAGCAACGCCGCGUGAACGACGAAGUACUUUGGUAUGUAAAGUUCUUUUAUCAAGGAAGAAAAGCAAGUGGCGAACCAUUUGUUUGCCGGUACUUGAUGAAUAAGCCCCGGCUAAUUAUGUGCCAGCAGCCGCGGUAAGACAUAAGGGGCAAGUGUUAUCCGGAAUUAUUGGGCGUAAAGGGUGCGUAGGCGGUCUAGUAAGUCAGUGGUGUAAUGGCAACGCUCAACGUUGUCCGGCUAUUGAAACUGCUAAACUUGAGUUAGAUAGAGGCGAGUGGAAUUCCAUGUGUAGCGGUAAAAUGCGUAAAUAUAUGGAGGAACACCAGAGGCGUAGGCGGCUCGCUGGGUCUUAACUGACGCUGAGGCACGAAAGUGUGGGGAGCAAACAGGAUUAGAUACCCUGGUAGUCCACGCCGUAAACGAUGAGUACUAAGUGUCGGGUUAAACCGGUACUGAAGUUAACACAUUAAGUACUCCGCCUGAGUAGUACGUACGCAAGUAUGAAACUUAAAGGAAUUGACGGGACUCCGCACAAGCGGUGGAUCAUGUUGUUUAAUUCGAAGAUACCCGAAAAACCUUACCAGGUCUUGACAUGUUUUUGCGAAACGGUAGUAAUAUCGUAGAGGUUAUCAGAAACACAGGUGGUGCAUGGUUGUCGUCAGCUCGUGUCGUGAGAUGUCAGGUUAAGUCCUAAAACGAGCGAAACCCUUAUCGUUAGUUGCCAGCACGUUAUGGUGGGGACUUUAACGAGACUGCCAGUGAUAAACUGGAGGAAGGUGAGGAUCACGUCAAAUCAGCAUGCCCCUUAUGACCUGGGCUACAAACGUGAUACAAUGGCUGUUACAAAGGGUAGCUGAAACGUAAGUUCUUGGCCAAUCCCCAAAAACAGUCUCAGUCCGGAUUGAAGUCUGCAACUCGACUUCAUGAAGUUGGAAUCGCUAGUAAUCGCGAAUCAGCAUGUCGCGGUGAAUACGUUCUCGGGGUUUGUACACACCGCCCGUCA